rnacentral:rRNA from 1 species
AUACGGAGGGUGCAAGCGUUAUUCGGAAUCACUGGGCGUAAAGGACGCGUAGGCGGGUUGGUAAGUCAGAUGUGAAAUCCUACAGCUUGACUGUAGAACUGCAUUUGAAACUGCUAACCUAGAGUAUGGGAGGGGGAGAUGGAAUUAGUGGUGUAGGGGUAAAAUCCGUAGAUAUCACUAGGAAUACCGAAAGCGAAGGCGAUCUUCUGGAACAUAACUGACGCUAAGGCGUGAAAGCGUGGGGAGCAAACAGGAUUAGAAACCCCAGUAGUCC